UCGCACCAUUGCACUCCAUCUUGGGCAACAAGAGUGAAACUCUGUUUCUAAAACGAAUAACAACAACAACAACAUAAAGGCAAGUUUACACUCAUAAUAAUAUCACUUCCCUCUCUCCCUUAUCACAGUAGUAGUGAUGAAAUUGUGUUUCAGUAAAAAUUGGAUUCAAACCCUGUAUCAAGUCCUAAGCUUUGGGACCUAUUGAGUAAUCACUAAAUGUCUGUAUUCAGCCAAGCCUCUAAAUUCUUCAGAAAAAAAAAAAAAAAAAAAAAAAAAAAAAGGCACUCUGGCUCAUGUCCCUGGCUUCUUUUGAAUUCAGAAGUUUUGAUGUGUUAGCAUACAAUUUAAAAGGAGUUUUAAACAUUAAGCCAUUAAUCUUGCUCAAACAAAUUUCAUGCUUUUUUCCUCAUUAUUCUGAUAUUUAGAAGUCUACUUCUGAAAGUAAAGUAAGUUUUAAUUUCCCAUCAAGUUUGAGAAAUUAUCAUUUGAUAUAUUCACUAUCAGUGAAAUAAAGGUUUAUUGAGCAAAUUAAUAGGGCAAAUUGGCUUCAAGAAAAGAUUUUGAAAAAUGUGUAUUAUAGGUUAGUAGUGCACGGUUGUCAAUGGGGUAGAUGGAACUCAUUGGGAUCACUUUUGCAGGUUUAUUUUUCAAAAUACGUGUCUGCAAACAUUUGUAUCUUCCCACCUCAACGUUCCCUCUAUUUCUAGGCAUUAUUUUUAGGAAAAUAGGAAUGGAUGUGAGGCAUCUUUAUGUGAAGAAAAGCAUCCCAGAAUAUUCUGAUUUUCACCCCAACUCAAUCAUUCCAAACUUUGCUGCACCUUGAAAUCACCAGGGAAACUUUUAACAACAACCCUGAUGGCCAAAGUCCUACCCAAUGCUAAUUAAUUAAAUCAAAAAGCCUCAAGUUGAAAAUGAGGCAGUUAUUAAAGCUCCUCAGUUGAUUUUAAGGUGCAGCAAAGUUUGAGAGAAACUGCUCCUAUUUGGUGGGACCUUGGGCAAGUCAGUUUUAGGGUUUGUUUUCCUGAUCGGUAAAAUGAAUGUUGGAUUAAAUGUUGUGGUCCUUGGUCCUUUCCAACAUGUAACUUCAAAUUCUGUGAUUUCAAAAUGAUUUUAGAGAUGAAAACUACUUGAAGCACUAUAGACAUAUCUACCUUAAAUGCUAAUGUUACAGGCUUUUUAAAAAGUGCUAAUAUUGUAUAGACCUAUUAUUAAAAUUCAGAUUUGCCUUCCCUCAGUUAUUCUCAGCCUCAUUCUAGAUGCCGAGGGCAAAUGGAAGCACAUAACUUAGUGGGACCUUGGCGAUACAUUAUCAUAUCAAGCAAAGGAAUGAGUUAGAAAGGCAAUUCUUGAAGCUAAUUAAUUAUAAUAUCAGCAUUACUGGCAGUCUUAUAGCAGACUCUACUUCGAUCUUCGCACCUUGGCACACGACAACAGCCUGUAUUCUCCAGUUUAUCUUCUUGACAGAGAAAGAGCAUGGAAGCUGGAGGUUUUUUCAAGGAUGGAACAACAUAAAGUUUUCUAUAGUGCUGCCAAGAACGGGUCUUUGAGUGCUGGUGAUUUAAUUCAUCUUCAGCGUGCUAAGGCCAUCCUCUUCUGAAGGAAGAAAUGAGGGCAUGCUUGAAUAUGGAACUGUAUCUUUGACAGCUGGCAGAGAAAUUUCCCAGCCAUCAAACUUUGGAUGUACAUGCAGCUGGAGCCUUGGACAAUGGCCCCUUCUCCCAGGGACCCUUAGAUAGGCCUCUGAGGGGACUCUGAGUGCUGUUUUCCCAAAACUGCCCCUGACAGAUGGAAGCAGUAUCCUUAUUCUAAUGGCAGUUAGAUGUGCUUCUUUAGAGGGAGGAAUGAGGCAGCUGAGUAUAAAGGGGUCAUCAGAGAACCUCCAACUGGCCUGCACAAUGGGAGAAGUGUGCACUGGGGUGGAGCCCCGGGAAGUUCGCUGUGUUUAUAGUGGGGAGCCUGGCCCCUUUCCUGCCUGGGUGGAACCUGGAAUUCAAUCUGUGAGGCAGGAAGCCGAUGCUAGCAUGACUCUCACACUGCUGAGGGUCCCUGGUUCCCCUUUAUCCUUUUUGCUUAAUAAAUUCCACUUUUCUCACCCUUCGAAGU